GUGGCUACAUCUUUUUCAUAUUCUGUUAUCUUGCUGCAUUCUUAGUAAGAGUAUGUUUCCGGCAUUUUUGUUAGCCUGAGUGUCUCUUGUAGGAGAAAAGCUCUUUGUAUCAGUGUUUUGUCUUCAGUGGAAUUUAGAGAACAGACACUACUGCUCCAUAGACUCCCAUCUUCUGGCUGUUUUAUCCAUCAGUCCUAUUUUUAAGUCUCUUUCUUACACAUAAAGCUUGUAGAUCCAUGUAGCUGCAGCCAGGCACGAUGAAGUGGCAUACACUGAGGUAGCUACAAUGAUGAGACAAGUGGGGCAGGUCCUACUGCACAUCACUUGCACUCCCAUUAGAACCCUUCAUUGCUGUCAUGUCUCAGACACGUAGAGCUACUCUGUGCUGACUGAAGUGCCUUGAGCGCAUCAUAGGCUAUAUCUGCAUUUUCAUGGAAUUGUAACAUGACUCGAGUCCCAGAAUGCAGCAAACUUCACAUUCAAGUGAAAAAUGAGUUGCUUGCUCGUAGUUCUGCACCAUCUACAUUCAGUGAUGCCACUCACUGCAUGAGGCAGUAGAGCAGUGGGUGGACAACUUUUAUUCCCUGUGAAGUAAAAGUAAUCCGUAAGGAUUUGUGUGCUGGCAGUGGGACCCUCCUGGGCCUCCACCCCAGAAAUGUCUGAGGGCAGUGGAAUUUCCAAGAGGGUCUUCUGCCCAGAGCUUAACACCCAUGAAAUUUAUAGGGAAGGAGGUGGUAUUUCAGAUAUUUGGGGCUUGAGUCAUUUAUGGCUUUAAACAUUACCAUGGUCAAUUUGAAUUAGGCCUAGAAACAAACUGAUUAACAAUGCAGCUUUUUUGAAAUAGGGUUUAUGUGAGAUCUCAGUGGAACCCCAGCCAGUAUUCUGACUGCUGUAUUUUGGACUACUUGACAUUUCUGAUCAUAGGAUUGUAGAGUUUGAUCAUAGAGCUGGAAGGGACCCAAGAGUUGUGUAGUCCAACCCUCUACUUAAAAACCUCCAGGGAAGGAGAGUACACAACCUCCCAAGGGAGACUCUUCCACUGUAGAACAGUUCUCACUAUAGGGAGUCACCUACCACCACCACAUGUCUAUUCCUCCUCUGGGGAGUGACAGGAAUUGUUCUAUGCACUGUGCCUUCCAAAGCCUGCUUGGAGUGCUCUUAAGUUCUGCACCACCUGCUUUUUCCUUCCCCUCUUGUCUAUUGGAGCUUAUUUGGGUGUUGUUGGGAUAGUUUACAAAGGCAGGAACCUUAUGGUUUGAGUACAGUGGUACCUCUGGUUACGUACUUAAUUCGUUCCGGAGGUCUGUUCUUAACCUGAAACUGUUCUUAACCUGAAGCACCACUUUAGCUUAUGGGGGGCCUCCCGCUGCUGCCGCACGAUUUCUUUUCUCAUCCUGAAGCAAAGUUCUUAACCCGAGGUACUAUUUCUGGGUUAGCGGAGUCUAUAACCUGAAGUUUAUGUAACCCGAGGUACCACUGCACUUCCUACUCCUUCCUCUCAGCUGGCCAUCUCCAGGCUCUACUUCCCUUUCUCCAAUCUCUCCAUGGAAGGUAACAAGUGGGUUAUUGGCAUACACAUCCACGAUCAGUAGCCUUGGAUCUGAAGGGGUUAGGUUAAGAAUGGAAAAUGACAUGGUCUUCAAUGUGGCUUACCAUCUUCACAGUGUAUAGGAUUACUGGCUUAGAAAUAAAUCCUAAAUUAAAAAAAAAACUUAUGGUAAGAAAUGUAAUUUAAUCCUUGUGUUUUGGGGGGAAAUCCAGAUGUGUAGAUUCUUAAUUGUGAUGAAUUACACUUUUUAAAAACACCAGGCUGUUCAUAUUCCAUUUUCAGAUUUGCAGGCAUAUGAACUUUCUUUCCAAAUUACCUAUUGGCAGGCAACUAUUUCUUUCAUCUCAUGACAUUAAUAUGCUUGUGCAGGUUUCCCUGCAGCUGUGUAUCUUUAUUCCAAGGUAUUUUAAAGAUAAACACAUCAUUUGAAGAAGUAAAAAAGCACAUUAUUUGAAGGACUGUAGAUUUUAUUUGUCAGAAAUAUGUUAGCUAGCUAUUAGCAAAACAACAAUAGCAUUGAAAGAAAUAUGCUUCCAUCAUAGGUCCCCCCCCAUUGGUUCAUUUUUCAUUAUCUUGUACCUGUGAUAUAAGCAUAAGCUAUACCUAUGCUUAAAAAGGUAAGGAAAAACUAAAAAGCAAUUAUUUCCACCAUAAAUUUCAUCCAUGUAGCUAAAGGAGAAGAUUCUGUUGGUAGCAACCUGCCCCAACAAGCUGUCCUGUUCUCCAGUGAUUACUGUUUCUUCAUUAUUUAUGUCAUUCGAAGGUCAGGGGUGGUUUACAACAUACUUUUAAAAGUAUUCAGAGUAUCUCUGUUUAGAGGAUAUUGCAGUAGCAGCCUAAUCUUAAAGCUAUGAAUGAUGACUGCUAAGCAUGCGGGGUGGGGGGGCUGGAAUGAUCAGGUGGGACACAAAUAAUGACAACACCAACAAAAUUUGAACUGGGCAUCUUCAAAA